rnacentral:rRNA from 1 species
UGCUAUAAUGCAGGUCGAGCGAAUGGAUUAAGAGCUUGCUCUUAUGAAGUUAGCGGCGGACGGGUGAGUAACACGUGGGUAACCUGCCCAUAAGACUGGGAUAACUCCGGGAAACCGGGGCUAAUACCGGAUAACAUUUUGAACCGCAUGGUUCGAAAUUGAAAGGCGGCUUCGGCUGUCACUUAUGGAUGGACCCGCGUCGCAUUAGCUAGUUGGUGAGGUAACGGCUCACCAAGGCAACGAUGCGUAGCCGACCUGAGAGGGUGAUCGGCCACACUGGGACUGAGACACGGCCCAGACUCCUACGGGAGGCAGCAGUAGGGAAUCUUCCGCAAUGGACGAAAGUCUGACGGAGCAACGCCGCGUGAGUGAUGAAGGCUUUCGGGUCGUAAAACUCUGUUGUUAGGGAAGAACAAGUGCUAGUUGAAUAAGCUGGCACCUUGACGGUACCUAACCAGAAAGCCACGGCUAACUACGUGCCAGCAGCCGCGGUAAUACGUAGGUGGCAAGCGUUAUCCGGAAUUAUUGGGCGUAAAGCGCGCGCAGGUGGUUUCUUAAGUCUGAUGUGAAAGCCCACGGCUCAACCGUGGAGGGUCAUUGGAAACUGGGAGACUUGAGUGCAGAAGAGGAAAGUGGAAUUCCAUGUGUAGCGGUGAAAUGCGUAGAGAUAUGGAGGAACACCAGUGGCGAAGGCGACUUUCUGGUCUGUAACUGACACUGAGGCGCGAAAGCGUG